CACUUUGAACAAGAGUUGAUGAAAGAACCAAGUCGCUAAAAUGAAUGUUCUAGUUUGCACGUUACAACAGUGUGGAAUCCAAAUGGCUGUCUUACCCAUAGCCUCAUAGUCUAUGGGUAGAUGGCGCUACUAUAGCGCCAUCUACGGACACGGCGGUGUUUAAACACAGUAAAGAACUGUCCCCCAUGAAGCAUUAAAGUCGAGGCUGUAGAUCGAGUUGAGCUGGUUUGUAGUGAAAAAUGGCCAUUAGUUCGUGAAAAUAUUAUGGUAAGCAAUGGCGAGAUGUGUUUACUGUACAUGUCUACACAAAGGUCCUUUACACAAGCAAUAGUCAAAGUCCAUUUUAUUAAUAAACUACCAAUGUGUACAGACCAAAUUCUGUACAUUAAGAUUUUACAAUAUUAAAAUAAAUCAAAUAAUCAGUACAAGAAUAAAAACGUGUACAAUAGCAUCUCUGCUGGAAAAAAUGGCAACACAAGCAGAUACAGCAGACUAAAGUGCAUGCCCUCUGUAACGCAGUCGGGCUGCUGGUGGAAAGCCGCCUGAGAUGCAAACUGAGAUCAGGAGAAAAGCGACAAAAGCUGGUGGCCCGCUGGCUGUACAACAUUAGGGUUGUUCAGAUCUUCCCACAACCAGCCAAAGGAUGGAAGCAAUACCCAGCACGAGUACUCUUUGAAACAGGUGUUUGAAGUAGGUUGUAAUGUUAACAACAUGUUUAACAUUAUAAAUAAAAUGACUGAAGUUUCCUUGGAAAUAAUUUUAAAGACUUUGCACCUACUUCAAACACCUGAUUCAACUAAAAUGUUAAAUUAGUAUGACAACCCCUAACAGUACGAGUGUGGAGUUUAAAUUCUUUGUUUGCAUUUCAGACCUCAAAGUUGUCCUCAACCGGGGACAGAAUGUUAAGAAAACUGUGUGGUUCUGUUCUUAAAAAAACAUGUUUGCAAGGAAUGACUGAGUUUGAGGUUGAAAGGGCGGGGCUGGCAACUGGAGGGAGAGACCUGCGGAAGAAGAGGACGAUUAAUUUGUAGCCUAUAUAAUGCACAAUUGUUAGGUGCUUUGUUUAGGCUUCUUUAGUUUUUUUGUUUGUUAAAUUGUACAUUCUGUAAAUAAAGUUCAUACCUUA